rnacentral:rRNA from 1 species
GCUUAACACAUGCAAGUCGAACGCGAAAGUUUCUUUCGGGAAAUGAGUAGAGUGGCGCACGGGUGAGUAACGCGUAAGUAAUCUACCCUGGUAUUUGGGAUAACCCACCGAAAGGUGUGCUAAUACCGAAUACGCUGAUUUAUCAGGAAAGGUGGCCUCUUCAUGAAAGCUACUGUACCAGGAGGAGCUUGCGUACCAUUAGCUAGUUGGUAGGGUAAAGGCCUACCAAGGCGACGAUGGUUAGCGGGUCUGAGAGGAUGAUCCGCCACACUGGAACUGAAACACGGACCAGACUCCUACGGGAGGCAGCAGUGAGGAAUAUUGCGCAAUGGGGGAAACCCUGACGCAGCGACGCCGCGUGGAUGAUGAAGGCCUUCGGGUCGUAAAAUCCUGUCAGAUGGGAAGAAGUGUAUAUCUGCUAGUACCAGGUAUAUUUGACGGUACCUU